UGUGCUGUGCAUAUCAUCACAAAGAGUUUUUGCAUGUCUCCACCAUGAACAGCACACCUCUACUCUUCCAACUCCUCUUGCUCUACACAGGUUCUGCCUUGAAUGAGCUGACUCAGCCAGCCUCAGUCUCAGUAACCCCAGGACAGACAGCCACAAUCACGUGCUCUAGAGAUGAGUUUUCAAAAUAUUAUGCACACUGGUUCCAGCAGCAGCACCCAGGACAGAGCCCUGUGCUGGUAAUAUUAUAUGAUGAUAAUAAGCGACCCUCAGGGAUCCCGGAGAGAUUUUCUGGGUCCAGCUCAGGGACAACAGCCACUCUGACCAUCAGCAGAACUCAGACUGACGAUGAGGCUGUCUAUUACUGUUCUUCAUCAUAUGGUGAAGGUGAUAAUGAACUUCCCACAGUGACACAGGAAGAUAGGGAAUCUGCUCUGACUCAACCUCCAUCAGCCUCUGGGUCUGUAGGACAGUCAGUCACCAUCUCCUGCACUGGAACCAGCAAUGAUAUUGAGAUUUAUAAUAAUGCCUCCUGGUAUCGAAAUCUCCCAGGAGCAUCUCGCAAAAUCCUGAUUUAUGGAGCCACUAAUCGUCCCUCCAGUGUACUCAAUCGCUUCUCUGGCUCCCAGUCUGGCAAUUGA